GGUUUGCUUAAGGAUGAACACCGAAGGGUGUUCAUCGUUUACCUUUAAAAAUUUCACUGGUUUUGGAGACUUGUGUGUUUCAAAGAGAGAGAGAAGAGAGUUUUUAGGGGAAGAGAUACGAAUGGUCGUCUGAUUGGGAGAUGAGAGAAACUUUUAUUUAUUUAGUCCAAAUAAAUGCAUUGAAUAGAUUUAAAGUUUUUCUUUUUUUUU
rnacentral:lncRNA from 1 species